AUGCUCUCUCCCAUCUCAGCCGGCCCCCGGCCCGCCUCCCCGCACGGCGAGCCGGCGGGGACACACUCCGCCCCGCAGAGCGGGGCUUUGCAGCAACGCGAGCGCCGCGGCCGCCCCCGGCUACAGCGGCCCCCGGCUACAGCUGCCGUCCCGCGGGCGCUGGGCUGGGUCGGGAGGGCGGCUGCGGUGACAGGGUCUGCGGGCGCGGGCCCAUCGGGGCCGCUCCAGGGCGGAGGCGCCGCCGCCCCGACCCCGCGCCACCGAAGCCCAACUUUGGAAGGCGAAAGAGAAAGCUGCGACGCCGCGGCUCUGCUCGGGUGCCCGUCAGCCGAGGCGGGGGAGCGGCGAGCACGGCGGCAUCACAGCCUGUACAGGGGCAGAGCGCGGCCGGGGCUGCGGCCGGGCCCCCCCGCGGGAAGCGGCAGCCCGCCCGCCGGCGCAGGCUGGGUGGCACGGCUGCAAAGCUGCUUCCAGCGCCUCAUCCUCCCCCGCCGGGGCGUCAGUGCCUCGGGCUGCUGCUGCCGCCGGCCGCACGCCGGGCGGCGGAGCGGGGCUGCCGCCGGCUCCUCCCGCCCGUCCCCCCGCGGCGGGGGCGAGCCGCCACCCGGCGCAUCUCAGAGGAGCGGCAGCAGCAGCAGGAGGGGCACGGACAGCCCCAGGAGCAGGCAGUACGGCACCAGCUCCUUCGCCCGGCUCAUCCGCAGCCGCCGCCGGGCCGCGCUCAUCCGCCCGCAGCUCCCGCGCCCAGCGCGCCCGUCCCCGGCCAGCCCCGGCGGGAGGGAGGGACGCGAUCCUCGGCUACCGCCCGGCGGGGACGGCGCAGGCGGCGGCGACCGCCCCUCCGCCGGCGAGAGGAGGCAGCUCCCCGGGGAGAACGGGGGUGGUCUCCUUCCCUCGGCCCGCCCCCGGGCUGUAAUGUUGGCCUGGCCGCGCUCACUGGUGUGCCGACGGCGAGCCCGGUCCGACAAGCCAAAACGUGCUAGAAAAACAGCCCCAAGCCCCCCCCGAAAGGCAUCGGAAAACCUCACAGCCCUGGAGGGGGCGGCGGUGGGUGGGGAAGGCCCUCAGCGAUCGGCGGUGGCGGCUGGAGGUGAGGGUGGGAUCACAUCCCACCUGGGGAGGAGCAGCCGCUGGAUCCCGUGUGAAUCGCGCGCUUGGGUCUCGGAUCCAGUCUUGGAUGGGGGGGCGGCUGAAUGCCAGGGCACUGUGUGACCGUAAAUUUAGCCCGUUGUCUUAUUACACCUCCACUUUAACUGACGAGAAGAGCUCCAGAUGAGACGGCACCGUACAAUCAUUGAGGAUAAAUCUUUUCUAUUCAUAAAUAAAUGAGAUCCAGCUGAAAAUAACUGAGAGAAGCAAGAGCUUCAGGAAUGGAUCCUGAUGUGAUACAUAAUGGAGAACAGGGCUGUGCACUGCUUUAUUUAAAAGCAGUGUGUGGGAAAACAAGGUGUGGCAAUUGCUCAGCUAGUGUCAAAUAGGACAGCAGAUCAGUGGAAAUGGAGUAGUUUAUGCCUUCUGCAAAUCAGGGCUCAUACUUUUAUUGAGCAUAAAUAUAGUCUUUCAUACUUUCAUACAAAACUUUUGCUUUUUCUCUGGUCAUCUCUUCAGGCCGUACUCUGCCUAUGGUGUAUCCUUUGUGCUCUGCAGCAAACGUUUUACUCCUUUAUUACUACCAUAGGCCUAUAGUAGCCUAUAAGAAAGGAUUUCCUAUUUCACUCUUCACCUCCCUUUAUCUGCCCUUCCUAGUUUCUUUUUACCUCCACCACUGUGUAAGAAUAUAUUCUGCUACUAAACUAUUUAAAGCUGUUUAUGUCUAAUAAGCUAUGGGGGGUUGCUGCUUGUAAAAAAUAUGAUAUUAUAAAAUAAAAUCUGCAGAAUUAGGUUUUGCAUUUUAAUUAGGUUCUUUGCAUUGCAAAGGACUUGCAGGCUUUGGAUCAAUUUCAGUUCGGUGUUCAGUAAUGCAACAUGAGAGCCAACUAGUCUGUGUGAGAUUUUAUUAUAUUGUUAUCAUAGCAACAAAUUUCUCUGGCUGCUGUAAAUAACUGAUCUCUAUUAUUGUAUAAUUUUGCUAUUUAAGAUCUCAGAGAUUCCUGUGAAUCUGAGAAGACACUUUGCUAUUCAAUCACAAAAAAUGUUUCUCUAAUAUAGUUGUCUUCUUUUCUCGUCUUUCAUUAUGUAGCAGAAAAAAUGUGUCGUGAAGACUGCUGCUCUUCUGUUCUGAUGACUGCCUGCUAAUAAAUGAUAAGCCUGAACAGCAGUUCUUGCACUUCAGCUUGUUUUUAAAGAAUGGAUUUUGUUCCAAUAAAAUGUUUAUGUUCCUUA